rnacentral:rRNA from 1 species
ACGAACGCUGGCGGCGUGCCUAACACAUGCAAGUCGUGCGAGAAAGUUCCUUCGGGAACGAGUACAGCGGCGCACGGGUGAGUAACACGUAGGUAACCUGCCCUCGAGCUCGGAAUAACCUACCGAAGGGUGGGCUAAUACCGGAUAUGACCACGGGAGUUUCGGCUCCUGCGGUGAAGGGUGGCCUCUACCUGUAAGCUACCACUCAAGGAUGGGCCUGCGUACCAUUAGCUAGUUGGUGGGGUAAUGGCUCACCAAGGCUAUGAUGGUUAGCUGGUCUGAGAGGAUGGCCAGCCACACUGGGACUGAAACACGGCCCAGACUCCUACGGGAGGCAGCAGUCGGGGAUAUUUGGGCAAUGGGCGAAAGCCUGACCGCAGCGACGCCGCGUGGAGUGAUGAAGGCCCUCGGGAUCGUAAAGCCUGUCGCAGAGGGGAAGAAUGGUGCGAACCUAACACCGUUCGUGAUGGCGGUACCAUUAAGGAAGCUCCGGCUAACUCCGUGCCAGCAGCCGCGGUAAUACGGAGGGGAGCAGCGUUGUUCGGAAUUACUGGGCGUAAAGGCGCGGUAGGCGGCCACUGCAAGUCUAGUUGUGAAAGCUCCGGGCUUAACCUCGGAAAGGUCAUUGGAUAACUGCAGGGACUAGAGUGCAGGAGAGGGCAGAGCUGGAAUUCUCGGUGUAGCGGUGAAAUGCGUAGAUAUCGAGAGGAACACCGGCUGGCGAAGGCGGUUGCUGGACGGCUGACACUGACGCUGCAGACGCGAAAGCCAGGGGAGCGAACAGGAUUAGAUACCCCUGGUAGUCCAUGCCGUAAACGAUGAAUGCUUAGGUGGCUGGAGUUUAUAGUCUCCGGGUGCCGGCAGCUAACGCAUUAAGCAUCCCGCCUGGGGAGUACGGUCGCAAGACUGAAACUCAAAGGAAUUGACGGGGACCCGCACAAGCGGUGGAGCAUGUGGUUCAAUUCGACGCAACGCGAGGAACCUUACCUGGGCUAGAAUGCCUCCGACAACCGUAGAGAUACGGUCUCCUAGGGAAACCUAGGCGGAGUGCAAGGUGCUGCAUGGCUGUCGUCAGCUCGUGUCGUGAGAUGUUGGGUUAAGUCCCGCAACGAGCGCAACCCUUAUCGAUAGUUGCUAGCGGUUCGGCCGAGCACUCUAUUGAGACUGCCGUUGACAAAACGGAGGAAGGUGGGGAUGACGUCAAGUCCUCAUGGCCUUUAUGUCCAGGGCUACACACGUGCUACAAUGGCCGGUACAAAGCGCUGCAAACUCGCGAGAGGGAGCCAAUCGCAAAAAGCCGGUCUCAGUUCGGAUUGGAGUCUGCAACUCGACUCCACGAAGCUGGAGUCGCUAGUAAUCGCAGAUCAGCACGCUGCGGUGAAUACGUUCCCGGGUCUUGUACACACCGCCCGUCACAUCACGAAAGUGGGUUGUACUAGAAGUCGUCGCGCCAACCGCAAGGAGGCAGACGCCCACGGUAUGAUCCAUGAUUGGGGUG